GGCACGGUGGCAUAGUGGUUAGCACUGUCGCCUCACAGCAACAAGGUCGUGGGUCGUGGGUUUGAUUCCAGCCUGGGGCC